rnacentral:lncRNA from 13 species
AGGAAGCCCUGUCCCUCAGCGAAGCAGCAAGAAGCUGCUGCAGCGUUACCACACGAGUCGCACCGUAGCUGUGCCCAGCUUCCAUGUCUGAGCAUAGCUCUACCUGUCGGCCAGUCCCCGCAUCCAGUGCCGGGCCACUCGGGCACCCUGCAAGGGGGAGAGACCAGGUGCUUACUCCUUCCCGCGGGGAGAAACAAGGCUCCGGGCUCUCCCCAGGGAGUCUCCCUCCGAGGAGCGGACGCUCAGCAUCUCUGCGGAGAUGAGCUCUCGGGCCGCGAAGGGAAGGAGCAGAGGGGUUCCGGCAGCCCACAGACCCUCGAGCUGCGGCUGGAGGCUGCGGUUAGACUCGGCCCCAGCAGAGUCCGCAGCUGGGGGGCGGCCUCACUCGAGGCCAUUCCUGUCCCGCCACCCAACGGGUCUCCCUCGGCCCCAGAGCCGCCCCGGGGCUGCCCCGCCGCAGCAGCGGGGCGGCCGCAAGAGCUCCGCCGGGACGAGGACACCGCCCCGCUGCCCGCCGCAGCGCCCCACGGCGAGGCAGCAGCCUUGCCCUGCCCUGCCCCGGCCCCCCGGUACCUGCGGCCCCGCCGGGGCUGCCCCAGCCGCUCCAUCCCGCGCCGCACCCGCCCCGGACACCGGCAGCCGCCCGUGACGUCACGGCGCCGGGCGGAAGUGCGCGGGCCCCGCCACCCCGCCUUCGGCCCCGCCCCUGGCCGCGCCCCGGCGGCGGCGGGCGCUACCGGGACCGGCCCGGACACACCGGGAGGCACCAGCCCGUGGUGGGGAGCGCCGGGCGGGACAGCGGCCCACGGUGGUCACAAGUCCCUCUGGUGUCGCAGCGACUCCUGCAGGUUGCUCCCAGUGGCACGGUGCGGCGCGCACACCGGCCUUGGUGCCCCAGCACACCGGGCGCACCCGCUCCCCCGAGCACAGCGCCUGUCCCAGUUCCUCAGUUAUCCCAGAUCCCCAGUGCACACCAGAUCCCCAUGGACCCAGUUUCCCGGCGCACACCGGUGGCUGCAGGCCGGCAGCUACCCCGGUUCCCCAGCGCACACCGCCUGUCCCAGUUCCUCAGCGAUCUCGUUUCCCCAGCGCACACGAGAUCCCAGCGCACACCAGCUGCUCCAGUUCCCCACGGCCCCAGUUCCCCGGCGCACACCGGUUGCUCAGCCCCGCAGCUACCGAGGCUCCCCGGCGCACACCGGCUGCCCCCGUUCCCCACGGCCCCGGUUCCCCGGCGCACACCGGCUGCCCCCGUUCCCCACGGCCCCGGUUCCCCGGCGCACACCGGCUGCCCCCGUUCCCCACGGCCCCGGUUCCCCGGCGCACACCGGCUGCCCCCGUUCCCCACGGCUCCGGUUCCCCGGCGCACACCGGCUACCCCCAUUCCCUGGUCCCAGUGCACGCCCCUGCCCCGGCGGGCGGCCGCGCAUGCGCAGCGCGGCGCCGCUGUCCGUUCAGCACCACGCGGAGCCGGGACCCGCUGCUGCCGGUGAGCGACGGCCCCGCCAGACCCCCCCGAGCCACCUGCCCGGCUCCGCGGCUCUCCCAGCGGGCUGUGCCGCCCUUUCCCAGAUCCCCGGGAAAGGCCAAUCCCUGGGGCUCACAGUUCUCACAGCACCCCCGACCGGCAGCCACUGGGCCCCGCUCCUCCGCCGGUACCGGGCUGUCCCCGCCCCGGGGCUGCCCGCGGCCCGCCGCUCCAAGCCCGCAUCCUCCCACGCUGCCAACAGGCUCCUCGCGCUCCGCUCCCCUGCCGGUGCUCCACCUGCCUCCGCAGCGCCGAGGACAGGGCGGGGUCCCUGCCCGCAGCCCCCGCGGAGAAGCGGCCCGGGCUCCUGCCCGCGCAGUUGCCAUAACGACCCCGUAGAAACGCACGCUGCUCCUUCCUCCUCCCUGUCGGUUUGCGGGGCGAGCACAGGCGGGCACCCGGUCCGCGUUGGUGCGGCACUCGUACACCACACCUCCGAGCCGGCACUGGGCGUUUGA